rnacentral:rRNA from 1 species
UCCAGGCCCUACGGGGUGCAGCAGGCGCGAAAACUUUACAAUGCUGGGAACAGCGAUAAGGGAACCUCGAGUGCCAGGUUACAAAUCUGGCUGUCGUGAUGCCUAAAAAGCAUUAUAUAGCAAGGGCCGGGCAAGACCGGUGCCAGCCGCCGCGGUAACACCGGCGGCUCGAGUGGUAACCGUUAUUAUUGGGUCUAAAGGGUCUGUAGCCGGCCGGAUAAGUCUCUUGGGAAAUCUGGCAGCUUAACUGUCAGGCUUUCAGGGGAUACUGUCUGGCUCGAGGCCGGGAGAGGUGAGAGGUACUUCAGGGGUAGGGGUGAAAUCUUGUAAUCCUUGAAGGACCACCAGUGGCGAAGGCGUCUCACCAGAACGGACCUGACGGCAAGGGACGAAAGCUAGGGGCACGAACCGGAUUAGAUACCCGGGUAGUCCUAGCCGUAAACGAUACUCGCUAGGUGUCGGCCACGGUGCGACCGUUGUCGGUGCCGUAGGGAAGCCGUGAAGCGAGCCACCUGGGAAGUACGGCCGCAAGGCUGAAACUUAAAGGAAUUGGCGGGGGAGCACAACAACGGGUGGAGCUUGCGGUUUAAUUGGAUUCAACGCCGGAAAUCUUACCGGGACCGACAGCAACAGAAGGCCAAGCGAGAGCG